UUUUUUUUUUUUUGAGAUGGAGUCUCACUCUGUCGCCCAGGCUGGAGUGCAGUGGCGCGAUCUCGGCUCACUGCAAGCUCCACUCCCGGGUUCACACCAUUCUCCUGCCUCAGCCUCCCGAGUAGCUGGGAUUACAGGCAUCAGCCACCACACUCUGUGAAUUUUUUUGUAUUUUUAGUAGAGACAGGGUUUCACCAUGUUAGCCAGGAUGGUCUUGAUCUCCUGACCUUGUGAUCCGCCCACCUCGGCCUCCCAAAGUGCUGGGAUUACAGGCGUGAGCCACUGUGCCCGGCCAGAGAUUCUGAUUUAAUUGGCAGGCCUUGGAGGGGCACUAGAAACUGUACUUCCAAGAAGUUCUCAAAUUGCAGAUGCUGUUGGUCCAGGAAUCCCACUUUGAGAAUCACUGCUCUAGAGCAGGAUUUCUCAAAAGUAUCACUCAUGACGUUCUAAAGCGGUUAAUUCUUUGAGCAUCUCUGGCCUCUACCCAUUAUAUGUCUGUAGCACCCCUCUAGAUAGCUCCAGACAUUGUCAAAUUGUUCCCUGGGAGGCAAAAUUGCCUAAAGUUGAGCAGCACUGCUCUAGAAGAUCUAAGUUAAAAAAUAAUGCAAGAAUCUAGGUGGGUUGCAGUGUCAAUUGAAGAAAAUAAGUUGAAGCCUAGAAGAAAGAGUUUGGGACAACCCAGGGCUUAAUGCAGAGGAUGGGAAUCCAUGCAGGCUUCUUUCAGAGAAGCAUCACUAUGUGUCUGGGGUUCAGAGACAACUGAUCAAAGGGCAGGCUAAGAGCUCAGACCUGGCAUCAAUUGGUUCCACAGGAACAGGGCUGUCCAUUUUAAGUCAGGUCCCUCCCUCUGUCCUGGGACAUCAGCUGUCAAGCCCCAAAGACUCUUGGAAAAAGCAAUCCUGUCCUAACCCAAAUGGCCUGACAACCUUUCUUUAAGGCUCAAUUGCCUAUGGCUCCAAAUUGCUCAGAGCUCUCUUUUACCUCAGUUUCCCAUUCUUCUACUUUGAGAUGUUAAUAAGCGGCAGAUUAGUCUAUUAGUAAGAAGCAAAUACUCUAGUUUUGUUGUGAAGAAGCAACUCUGAUAAGCCUUUAGACCUGUUCUUUCUAGCUACUAACUAGAUCCAAUCCCUGAAAGAUUGUUCUUGUCUUUGAAACCAGCAACUCUGCCUAUUAUCUAUUUACUUGAAAUAGAAGACAACGUCUGGAGGCUUGGAUCUGCUUCCCUACAGGACUCACACUUGCAUAACUUCACUAGGCCCAUGAAGGUCUCCAGGGAUUAGCUUCUAUAACCUGAAAAGGGAUCGACCAUCCCUGAACAACCAGGGAAAGUAGGUGAGGGAAGACAGGACCAAUUUUUGUUUUGAUGGGCUGGCUUGUAAAUAAACUGUUUAAGGGGUUAGGACUGAAUGGGAUUAGGGCUACUGACUAGGAGAAAAAGUAAUUAUAUCAGGGAGGCCAAAAAAAAAAAAAAAAAGGAAAAAUAACCCGAAAAUCCACCUCCCUGAAAAUUCAACCCACAAAACUCAGCCACGCAGCAAAAAAGAAAUUUGGCUCUUUAAGUGCCAACAGGAUUAAGUGCUAGAGAUUGUAGAAGUCAUAAAGGGAAAUUAACUGAAAACCAGAGAUGCCAUUACUCAAUCGGGAGCAAUCUGUCUCUCCCAAAGUGAGAAUACAAUCUGCACCCUCUGGGGAUCUUUUAUACUCAAAUCUUUAUUCCCCAGGCUGGGGCUUCUAUUUUCUUCAAAUUCUAAAUGGUGCUGCUAUUUCCUGCUAAUGGCUUCUACCCAGUCUUUGAGGAAGGCACCUGGGAGGGGACUGAAGGUGAGGUUAGAGGAAAGCCCUUGCAGUCUCCAGGGUCUUGGCUCUUCCCAAUCACUGCCAACUUCUCAAGGGAUUGGUAGGCUUUUAAAAGGGCAGUGUCCAGGUCGAAGCACUGUUUUAUUCCAACCCAAGAAAAGAUGAGGGUGGGUGGAAGGGACUGGACCAGUUUUCAAGUACAGGUUGAAUACCCCUUAUCCAAAAUACUUGAGACCAGAAGUGUUACAGAUUUUGGAUUUUAUUACUUUUUUUGAGACAGGAUCUUACUCUCACCCAGGCUGGAGUGCAAUGGCAGGAUCUUGGGUCACUGCAGCCUCCACCCACUGGGCUCAAGCGAUCUUCCCACCUCAGCCUCCCAGGUAGCUGAGACUAUAGGUGCAUGCCACCACGCCUGGCUAAUUUUUGUAUUUUUUGUAAAGACAGGGUUUUGCCAUGUUGUCCAGGCUGAUCUCAAGCAAUCCUGGGCUCAAGGAAUCUUCUCACUUUGGCAUCCCAAAGUGCUGGGAUUAUAGGCAUGACCCAAUUUCUGAAUACCUGCAUAUAUAUAAUGAGGUAUCUUGGGACCCAAGUCUAAAUAAAAAUCCUUUUGUUGUAUAUACACCUUAUACACAUAGCCUGAUAAUUUUGUAAAACAUUUUAAAUAGUUUGUGCAUGAAACAGUUAUUAUUAUUAUUACUUUUUGGAGAUGGGGUCUCACUCUGUCACCCAUGCUGGAGUGUUUUGGCAUGGACAUAGCUCACUGCAGCCUUGACCCCCUGGGGUCAAGCGAUUCUCACCCCAAUCUUCCAAGUAGCUGGGACCAUAGGUGUGUACCACCACACCUGGAUAACUUUUAAAUUAUUUGUAGAGAUGAGGUCUUGCUAUAUUGCCCAGGCUGGUCUUGAACUCCUGGGCUCAAGUGAACCUCCCACCUCAGCCUUCCAAAGUGUUGGGAUUACAGGUAUGAGCCAGUGUCCAGCUGGAAUAAACUUUUGACUGCGACCUGUCAAAUCAGACCAGAGAUUAAGUGUGGGAUAUUCCACUUGUGGCAUCAUAUAGGCCCUCAAAGUUUAAAUUUUGGAGCAUUUAGGAUUUUGGAUUAGGAAUGCUGAUAUAGUUUGGAUAGCUGUUCCCUCCAAAUCUCAUGCUGAAAUUUGAUGCCCAAUGUUGGCGGCAGGGCCUAGGUGGAGGUAUUUGGGUCAAGGGGGUGUAUUCCUCAUGAAUGGCUUGGUACCCUCUUUGUGGUAGAGUUUU
rnacentral:lncRNA from 1 species